CCGGGUGUUGCCUGCUGUGCGCGCCGAACACUGGCCAAGGCAGAGACAGAUGUUUCUCAACAAUCUUAAACCGGAAACAGAAAAUCUAAAAGUCUGGCACCGCGAGAGCCACCUUUUUUUUGUGGGCGGGAACGCACAUGCGCAGGGGAACCUAGCAAAACCCUUAAAUACCGUCAUGCGGUCACGCGCGGCCUCUUUCUCUGCCGCCGCCGAGUCGCGCGGAGGCGGUGGCUCGGGUUUGUUCAAGAUUUAGCUUCGUCCGUAAUCCACCGCCAUGGCCGAGGAAGGCAUUGCUGCUGGAGGUGUAAUGGACGUCAACACUGCUUUACAAGAGGUGCUGAAGACCGCCCUCAUCCACGAUGGCCUUGCACGUGGAAUUCGCGAAGCUGCCAAAGCCUUAGACAAGUACGUUUAUCAGUCUCAAUACUGUGGGUUGUUGCAACCGGAACAAAACUUCAGCCGAGGGAAGAAAGCGCGAAGUUCAUGGUGUUAGCACAAAAGUUCUGAAUGGCAUCCGUUCUUUAAACUACAGUGUUUGAAUGAUGACUUAAAUGUCGGAUACCCCUUCACUCCUUUCAUGGGUGAAAACAUUACAGUCUGACAAACCUGUAGGUUGUGGCUCUAUUCUCGUUUUGAGGAUUCUGAGCCUGAUUCUAGCAAAUCAAGCAUUAUGCUAAAUGAAUGAAACAUGAAGCUGAUGUUUGUUGCAGAAGCAUCUGGACUUU
rnacentral:lncRNA from 1 species